GACGAACGCUGGCGGCGUGCUUAACACAUGCAAGUCGAACGGAAAGGCCCUGCUUUUGUGGGGUGCUCGAGUGGCGAACGGGUGAGGAACACGUGAGUAACCUGCCCUUGACUUUGGGAUAACUUCAGGAAACUGGGGCUAAUACCGGAUAGGAUCUCCUGCUGCAUGGUGGGGGUUGGAAAGUUUCGGCGGUUGGGGAUGGACUCGCGGCUUAUCAGCUUGUUGGUGGGGUAGGGGCUUACCAAGGCUUUGACGGGUAGCCGGCCUGAGAGGGUGACCGGCCACAUUGGGACUGAGAGACGGCCCAGACGCGUACGGGAGGCAGCAGUGGGAAAUAUUGCACAAUGGGCGGAAGCCGGAUGCGGCAACGCCGCGUGCGGGAUGACGGCCUUCGGGUUGUAAACCGCUUUCGCCUGUGACGAAGCGUGAGUGACGGUAAUGGGUAAAGAAGCACCGGCUAACUACGUG
rnacentral:rRNA from 1 species